GCAAAACGCGAAGAACCUUACCAGGCCUUGACAUGCAGAGAACUUUCCAGAGAUGGAUUGGUGCCUUCGGGAACUCUGACACAGGUGCUGCAUGGCCGUCGUCAGCUCGUGUCGUGAGAUGUUGGGUUAAGUCCCGUAACGAGCGCAACCCUUGUCCUUAGUUACCAGCACGUUAUGGUGGGCACUCUAAGGAGGCUGCCGGUGACAAACCGGAGGAAGGUGGGGAUGACGUCAAGUCAUCAUGGCCCUUACGGCCUGGGCUACACACGUGCUACAAUGGUCGGUACAGAGGGUUGCCAAGCCGCGAGGUGGAGCUAAUCUCACAAAACCGAUCGUAGUCCGGAUCGCAGUCUGCAACUCGACUGCGUGAAGUCGGAAUCGCUAGUAAUCGCGAAUCAGAAUGUCGC
rnacentral:rRNA from 1 species